AACGAACGCUGGCGGCAUGCCUAACACAUGCAAGUCGAACGAGACCUUCGGGUCUAGUGGCGCACGGGUGCGUAACGCGUGGGAACCUGCCCUUAGGUUCGGAAUAACUCCCCGAAAGGGGUGCUAAUACCGGAUAAUGUCUUCGGACCAAAGAUUUAUCGCCUUUGGAUGGGCCCGCGUUGGAUUAGCCAGUUGGUAGGGUAAAAGCCUACCAAGGCGACGAUCCAUAGCUGGUCUGAGAGGAUGAUAAGCCACGCUGGGACUGAGACACGGCCCAGACUCCUACGGGAGGGAGCAGUAGGGAGUAUUGGACAAGGGGCGAAAGCCUGAUACAGCAAUGCCGCGUGAGAGAUGAAGGCCGUAGGGUUGUAAAGCUCUUUUACCCGGGAUGAUAAUGACAGUACCGGGAGAAUAAGCACCGGCUAACUCCGUG
rnacentral:rRNA from 1 species